CUGGAAUAAAUGCUGGGCCUCUGCAUCUUCAAGAACCUUGUCACAGAAAUCAGUGAGAGCUGUAAAGUCCCAUUUCUUGGCAUAAGCAACGUUGUAUCUCAAAAUAGCCUCCUUCAAAUCAUGCGAGCAUGUAAAUUUGUUGAGUAAGGCGGUUUGGAUUAGUUCCCAUCUACUUCCAGCAGUUCUAUCUCCAUUCUCAUCCUCUACAGGGUAUAGGUUUUGUUCUGAGCAGGGCAUUUUAACAUGUUUGUUGUCCCACAAAUCCUUAUAGUGAGUUGGAAAUGGUUUAGGCACCUCUCCUUCUCUCAGAAGGUCUACCCUGACGGUUACUGUAUGAUUUGCUGAAGGUCUCAGAUGGGGAAGACGAGCCCCACACACAGGCAUUCUCCUCAGCUCUUCAAUCGGCGUCCCAAACCACUUCUUAUUAGUUGGAAGAGGUGGUGGCACAUACUUAGGGAUCUUCUUUCCUGCUCGCUGAGAUUUGAAUUCGCACUUAUCUUUCCUGCUCUUCUCUUCCAUUUUAGGUAUCCUCAUGAAAUGAGAGGUGAUUUUGGAGUCUUUCUUCACUCCUGGUUUUGCACCUUUGCCUUCCGAUGAUGGAGCAGGAGAGAUCCCAGGUGGUUUUAUAUGCAGACCAUCAUCCUUGACAGAAUUAUCUAUUCCCUCAAAGUCUUCACAACCCUUAGUAGAAAACCGUGAUUUCCUUGACUCCAGUUCAGCAUCCCCAUACUGAAUUCUAAAAGAUUUGUUUAUAGAUUUGGCCAUAUUAUUCUCCUCUCGCUCAUCAAGAAGCGGACUCGUUUCCUCAUCAGCCUCUGACCCAUGACAGCUGUUUUUAGAAUUGUCGACAUCCAUGGGUGAUUCUGGCUCACUUUCUUUCUCAAAAGCAGGUGAAUCCCCUGAACUACUUCGACACUUGCUCAGUUUCUCAGGACCUCCAACACGGGAUACGCAAGCAUCGCAACCAGUAUCUGAAAGUGGGCUUUCUGGAACUACAUCCCCUUCUUCCUGUUCACCUGUAUCAACAGGAUCGCAGCUCUUCAGCUUCUGGGAGUUGCACAAAACCACCUGCCCAUCUGUCUCAGUAUCUUUUGAAGAAGGUUUUGUGUUUCCCGUUUUCAAAGACUGGCCGGAUGACCUUUUCCUCUGAGUCCAAAUGUCACCACUUUCCUCGCACCGUCUCUGAGCCUCCUUGCCAGUUCUGUGCAUCUGAUCAAUGUUGGCAUUUUUAAAGGCCUCCCCAGUCUGUUCUGCCUUCACAGGCACUCUGUCUGAGACUGGAUCUCUGCCCUCAGCCUCCCAGUUACAUAUGCUGCCUGUCUGAGACAAAUUUACGUGCUUUGUGCCAACUUCCCCAGAUACUUCUGGACAAUUUUGCUGGCAAAUAUUCUCUAGCUGUUUUACAUCAUGCUCACAAACGUUUUCUUUUUUAACAGAAGUCAUCUUGGUAUUUUCUUCAGUAUUGUUAUUAAUUUUGCUUUGAAGGCUUCUGGACUCAGUUGUCUUGGGCCCUUUAUCCUCCAACCAAGUGGUAAUUGUCCGCUGUUUACAAGAAGAGAUUUAGCUACAUUGACAAGCAGUCGUCAAUGAGAAACAUCAUUUCACUGCCCA
rnacentral:lncRNA from 1 species